AAGUCGUAACAAGGUUUCCGUAGGUGAACCUGCGGAAGGAUCAUUAAAAAGGAUACCGGGCAACCGGUAGACCCCACCCGUGUCUAUCUACUCUUGUUGCUUUGGCAGGCCGUGGCCUCCACCGUGGGCUCUGCCUGCGUGUGCCUGCCAGGGGAUCAAACUCUGAAUUUUAGUGAUGUCUGAGUACUAUAUAAUAGUUAAAACUUUCAACAACGGAUCUCUUGGUUCUG
rnacentral:misc_RNA from 1 species